rnacentral:rRNA from 1 species
UUGAACGAGGAAUUCCUAGUAAACGCGAGUCAUCAGCUCGCAUUGAUUACGUCCCUGCCCUUUGUACACACCGCCCGUCGCACCUACCGAUUGAAUGUUUCGGUGAAGAUUCCGGACUGUGGCUCGCGUGCUUCACGGCGCUCUUGCCGUGGGAAGUUAUCUAAACCUCAACAUUUAGAGGAAGGUGAAGUCGUAACAAGGUUUCCGUAGGUGAACCUGCGGAAGGAUCAUUA